rnacentral:rRNA from 1 species
AGCGAACGCUGGCGGCAGGCCUAACACAUGCAAGUCGAGCGCUCGUAGCAAUACGAGAGCGGCAGACGGGAGAGUAACACGUGGAACGUACCCUUUGGUUCGGAACAACACAGGGAAACUUGUGCUAAUACCGAAUAAGCCCUUACGGGAAAGAUUUAUCGCCGAAGGAUCGGCCCGCGUCUGAUUAGCUAGUUGGUGGGGUAAUGGCUCACCAAGGCGACGAUCAGUAGCUGGUCUGAGAGGAUGACCAGCCUCAUU